AACGAGCAAUGGCCCACGGCCCAGUGCAAGAUUGGGUCAUACGGCUAUGUGUGCCCGGAGCAAACGCCUCGUAGGAGCGUCUGCUUGUAAACUGCGAGAGGCCGUUGACUCGUCAGUCACUACCUCCUCCGUCCACCCUACAGACGAGAAAUUUGCAGAUUCGCCGUCCACCAGCCCGCCUCCGCUUCCAAUGGAUGCCGCCAUCGCGUUCACUUCCGCUCGGAACCCUAGCCCCACGCGCUUCUCCUCCUCCGCUUCGCCUUCCUCGCGCCACCCCCAGCGCCUCUGCGUCUUCGGCCCAUGGCGCGGUCGCGAGCGCCGGCUCCGCGCGCUCCGGCCCAAAUCCCAGGUCCAGCCCCCCGGUGCUACGGCCGCCGACGCCUCCCACCACGACGUAGUGGUCGUGGGCGCCGGGAUUGUGGGGCUCGCGAUCGCGCGCCACCUGCUCCUCCACACCCCGUUCUCCGUCGCUGUCGCCGACGCCGCCGUCCCCUGCUCAGGCGCCACUGGCGCAGGGCAGGGAUACAUAUGGAUGUCGCACCGGAAGCCCGGCAGUGACAUGUGGGAGCUGGCGAUGCGGAGCAAGCAGCUGUGGGAGGAGCUCGCGGCCGAGGUUGACGGCCAGGGCGGCGGCGGUGCGCGGGAGAGGCUGGGUUGGAUGAGGACAGGAAGCUUGCUAGUUGGCAGAACUUCGGAAGAGCUGGCCACAUUGCAGGAAAGGACCAAUGCUCUGUCUCAGGCUGGCAUACAUGCGGAAUUCUUGUCUGCAUCUACACUACAUUCGUUAGAACCGGCACUUAGUGUUGGGAAAGAUGGUGGUGCUCUGUUCUUGCCUCAAGACUGUCAGAUUGAUGCGUUCCAGGCUGUCUCUUUGAUUGAAAAGACCAAUAACUCAUAUUCCUCAGAAGGAAGGUAUAUGGAGCUCUAUAAUGAUCCUGCCAUGUCAUUAAUAAGAUCGGAGGUUACUGGAGCAGUUGAAGCUGUCCAAACUUCCAGCAACAUAUUGUAUGGCAGAAAAGCUAUUGUAAUUGCUUCUGGUGCCUGGACUCGAUCUUUAUUGCAUAGUUUCCUAGAACCAGCUUUGACAUUGGAUAUUCCUGUGAAGCCACGAAAGGGUCAUCUGCUUGUGGUGGAGAAAUUCGACAAGGUUAAGCUAAAUCAUGCCCUAAUGGAGGUAGGAUAUGUUGACCAUCAGGUUGCUAAGUCAAGUAGCACACAUAUGGCUUCAGAAUCCAGUGAAGAUGAGCACGGUGCUUUAUCUAUAUCAAUGACUGCAACCUUAGAUACAAAGGGCAAUUUGGUUCUAGCUGUAUGUUACAGGAAGCAGCCGGGAGUUCAAAGGUUUUUCGCGGGAGGUUGAUAAGUCCGUUGUUAAGUGUAUAUGGGAACGUGCAGGAGAGUUCUUUCCUGCAAUGAAGAAUGUUCCUCUAGAUAUUGAUCAGAAUACGCAAAUCAGAAUCGGGCAUCGCCCAUACAUGCCUGAUGGAAAGCCAGUUAUUGGCUUUAUCCCUGAUCUGCCAAAUGUUUUGAUUGCGACAGGACAUGAAGGAAACGGGCUUACUCUGGCACUAGGCACUGCUGAAAUGGUCAGUGAUAUGAUUCUUGGGAAUCCUGGAAAAGUGGACUACUCACCUUUCGCCAUCAAGCACAGAUUUUCAGGAUGACCGUUUAUCCGGAAGCCCUCCUUCAGCUCCUCAAGUGACAAAUUACCAUCAUUGUCCUUGUCCAUCGUAUUGAACAUCUGAGUGUAUUUGUCAAUCUCUUCCACCGGUAAAUUCAUGGCGACGACCUUCAUUAAUCAUUGGCAAAUGCUUCGCGUUGAAGUGUGCCGUACUUCUAGGAAAUAAGGGUACGAACAGCAAGUUAUAUGCAACUUACUCCAAGUGCCUUCUUCUUGAACUUAUUCAUGGACGAGAACUGCUUCAGCUUGGCUCGAACAACCUCCCCGAGUGACACAUUUGAAGCCUUAUCGGCAUUUUUUAGCCAAGGGUGCUCUGUUUUUUAGGAGGGAAACGUGAUCAUAGUUCAGUAUGCAGCAUUGUUAGGCCGCCUUUUGAAUAAUGCCAAUAAUGAACCAGAAGUUACCAAACUCUUAGUAUGUCUUUCCAUGAAUGGAAUGCCGUCUGCCCUUUCCAUUCAAGUUUUAAA